GACGAACGCUGGCGGCGUGCUUAACACAUGCAAGUCGAACGGAAAGGCCCUGCUUUUGUUGGGCGCUCGAGUGGCGAACGGGUGAGUAAUACGUGAGUAACCUGCCCCUGACUUUUGGAUAUCUUCAGGUAAUUGUGGCUCUUACCGGAUACUAGCUCCUGCUGCAUGGUGGGGGUUGGAUAGGUUCGGUGGUUGGGGAUGGACUGGCGGUUUAUAAGCUUGUUGGUGGGGUAGUGGCUUACAAAGGCUUUGAGGGGUAGCCGGCCUGAGAGGGUGACCGGCAAAAAGGGGACUAAGAAAGGGCCAAGACGCCAACGGGAGGCAGAGGGGGGAAAUAUUGCAAAGUGGGCGGAAGCGUGAGGAAGAAACGCCGCGGGCGGAAUAACGGCCUUCGGGUGGUAAACCGCUUUAGCAGGUAACGAGGCGUGAGUGACGGUAAUGGGUAAAGAAGCACCGGCUAACUACGUG
rnacentral:rRNA from 1 species